GCCUGGGUGGCGGAAUAGGUAGACGCAAGGGACUUAAAAUCCCUUGGGGCGUAGUCCCCGUGCCGGUUCGAUUCCGGCUCCAGGCA
rnacentral:tRNA from 1 species